rnacentral:sRNA from 1 species
AGUCUUACCCAAGUGAGCAAAGGAAUAACACCUAAAUUUUUUCCAAAUUAAAAUCUUCAAAAUGUUCAUUGGUCCGGUCCAGAAAGAACAUCUGCACAACAUGAUCCUGGGAUGUGGUUGGCCCUGUGGAUCACUGAGUGGACCCUGCUGCGGUAGCUGCUGUGGAGGUUGCUGUGGUGGCUGCUGUGGUGGCUGCGGCUGGUGAUAUUUAAGCUGGGGUUUGGACUUGGACCAAUGCGCAACAGUUGCCUUGAUCCAUAUGAAAAUAUACCACAAACGACAUCCACUGGCCAACGCUAUUUUAAGGCAUUGUUGUUCAAUGUGAAGAAUGUUUUAAUAAAUAAUCGAAGUGAGACUUAACACAAA